rnacentral:lncRNA from 1 species
UAGUAUCAGUUUGAUAUUCUUAUCUUCCACUUGCAAAUCAUUAGUACAAGAACCAGAAUGAGAAAGCCAUGAUGUAAGUCAAUUUUUCCUUGCAUAACAUAAUAAGUGUUGUUGCGUCUUGAGAUCCUAAUUGCCAUGGAACUUUGGUAGCCAUACUUUUUAAUAGAGUCAAGGGCGCUUUACAUAAUGGAAUUCCGCUUCACUAAGAAACCGUCAACAAAAUCCUACCUCUUCUUGAAUAAAACCUUCAUUUCUCCUUAACUUACUUAAGAAAAUCUUAUAAUAUAAGAAAAUAAAGAGCAGCGAAUACCCUCGCGAACCUCAAGAUUUUUUGGGAGUUUUGUCACCCAAAUUGCUCUAGGCUCUCGUUUAGAAGCAUAUUCACAGCUGAACCAUCACACUCAAAGCCUUUUUCGCAUUGUCUUAGCCUUGGUGUUAGCAUCAAGCGUUCAAAGGAUACACCUGCUCUACUGACCUGUGGUACUUGGAUCGAGGUCCAUUUUACUUACAGGUCUAUGGGUCGCGCUCCUGUGUACCCGAACAAUCAAGAGGCGUUAAAAUUGCAAUCGUAAUAUAGCCAGUAGCUGAUCGAAUUGUUGUCUUUCGAAUCUUUCUUCUCAUGGAGUGGGUCUGUAACUGGUUUGAGUUUGCACAGCACAUGUCUCGUUAUCCCACAUGGUCUUGAAUGGAGUUCCUUAGUGAGGUUCUAUGAAGUGGAUCACCCGGGUUCCAGUGAGGCUAUUUGCGAGUGGAACGGUAGUCAUUUGCUGUUAGCUGUUAGCUUUUCUAGCAGCUUUC